rnacentral:tRNA from 1 species
GCCGGAGUGGCGGAACAGGCAGACGCAAGGGACUUAAAAUCCCUCGGGCCCUAGGCCCAUGCGGGUUCGAGCCCCGCCUCCGGCACCA